rnacentral:rRNA from 1 species
CGGCGGACGGGUGAGUAACACGUAGGCAACCUACCCAUCAGACCGGGAUAACCGCGGGAAACCGUGGCUAAUACCGGAUGACCCUUCCGGACAUAAGUCCUGAAGUUGAAAGGCGCUUUUGGUGCCGUUGAUGGAUGGGCCUGCGGCGCAUUAGCUGGUUGGUGAGGUAACGGCUCACCAAGGCGACGAUGCGUAGCCGACCUGAGAGGGUGAUCGGCCACACUGGGACUGAGACACGGCCCAGACUCCUACGGGAGGCAGCAGUAGGGAAUCUUCCGCAAUGGACGCAAGUCUGACGGAGCAACGCCGCGUGAGUGAAGAAGGGUUUCGGCUCGUAAAACUCUGUUGUUAAGGAAGAAUGUCAGUGAGAGUAACUGCUCAUUGAGUGACGGUACUUAACCAGAAAGCCACGGCUAACUACGUGCCAGCAGCCGCGGUAAUACGUAGGUGGCAAGCGUUAUCCGGAAUUAUUGGGCGUA